CGUAGCCGCGGGAAAACAGAGGGUGCGAGCGUUAAUCGGAUUUACUGGGCGUAAAGCGUGCGUAGGCGGCUUUUUAAGUCGGAUGUGAAAUCCCUGAGCUUAACUUAGGAAUUGCAUUCGAUACUGGGAAGCUAGAGUAUGGGAGAGGAUGGUAGAAUUCCAGGUGUAGCGGUGAAAUGCGUAGAGAUCUGGAGGAAUACCGAUGGCGAAGGCAGCCAUCUGGCCUAAUACUGACGCUGAGGUACGAAAGCAUGGGGAGCAAACAGGAUUAGAUACCCGCGUAGUCCCUGUCUCUUAUACA
rnacentral:rRNA from 1 species